ACACAUGCAAGUCGAGGGGUAACAUUGUGCUUGCACAGAUGACGACCGGCGAACGGGUGCGUAACGCGUAUAGAAUCUGCCUUGUACAGGAGGAUAGCCUUUAGAAAUGAAGAUUAACACUCCAUAAUGUAUAGAAGAGGCAUCUCUUUUAUAUUAAAUAUUUAUAGGUACAAGAUGACUAUGCGUCCUAUUAGCUAGAUGGUAAGGUAACGGCUUACCAUGGCAACGAUAGGUAGGGGGUCUGAGAGGAUUAUCCCCCACACUGGUACUGAGACACGGACCAGACUCCUACGGGAGGCAGCAGUGAGGAAUAUUGGUCAAUGGAGGCAACUCUGAACCAGCCAUGCCGCGUGCAGGAUGACUGCCCUAUGGGUUGUAAACUGCUUUUAUACAGGAAGAAACCGUGCUACGUGUAGCACCUUGACGGUACUGUAAGAAUAAGGACCGGCUAACUCCGUGCCAGCAGCCGCGGUAAUACGGAGGGUCCAAGCGUUAUCCGGAAUCAUUGGGUUUAAAGGGUCCGCAGGCGGUCAAUUAAGUCAGAGGUGAAAGCCCAUCGCUCAACGAUGGAACUGCCUUUGAUACUGGUUGACUUGAGUUAUACGGAAGUAGAUAGAAUAAGUAGUGUAGCGGUGAAAUGCAUAGAUAUUACUUAGAAUACCGAUUGCGAAGGCAGUCUACUACGUAUAUACUGACGCUCAUGGACGAAAGCGUGGGGAGCGAACAGGAUUAGAUACCCUGGUAGUCCACGCCGUAAACGAUGGAUACUAGUUGUUGGGUUUCGACUCAGUGACUAAGCGAAAGUGAUAAGUAUCCCACCUGGGG
rnacentral:rRNA from 1 species